rnacentral:lncRNA from 1 species
GGGAUUAAAACGAAUCCCCUGUUGCUUUUCUCUCAAAAUCUCACAAAUUUUGAGAGGCUACACUAGAGUUUAGAACUGGCAACCAUGUUUGAUUAAAUAAUCCUCAAUUAGGAGAUAAAAUCUGAUGAUUAGAGGUUGAUCUCUAAGGAUGGAGGAAGCACAAAGCGUGCUGAUGACAUAGAGAAAAAUUAUAGGACAGUUCAGAAGAUAUUGAAGUUCCCAAGAGCAUCUCAGGCAUGUCAAAUUGAAUUCUAUUGAGAGUUUGGGAUAGAAUUUGAGGAGAGAGUUGUUUUGGCAUAGAUAGUUAAGUAAAUGCGUAUGACAACCUUGAUGUUUAUCCGGUAUGCUUCAAAUUUUACUAUUCUCAGUGAUUACAUUACCGGAAACUCUAUGUAUGAACCAUCUUAUUUCCUUCGUAUGUGCUGCUGCAUUAAAUUGAAUGUUGCUUAUUUGUGUCAAAAAAAUUCUGUUGCUUGUUACUACAAUCUAAUUACAUCCAAAUUGUAAAUGGUAUGCACAUGAGGGUGGUUAUUGGUCAACACUGGAAAGGUGAAAUUAGGUGCAUGUCACUUGCCCGGCUCAGCUCAGUUCUUGGUUUUUAGCUUUUAAUUUACUGCACUACCUAGUUCCAUACAUGGCUCAAUUGUAGCGCAGGCCCUUGGAGUUUGUUAACUAACUAGGGGUCGAAUAGUAAGGAUGCUUUACAAUUUCUUUUGAGUAUCUAACGCUGGGAACUUGGUGGAUAGUAUUUCUUCUUAAGAGUGUAAAUGAAGUUAGGCCUAAAGGUUUCUUAUCUGUCUCUCAUUCUUUUCAUGAAAUUUCAAGAGAUUAAAUUGCUUGCAGGGAACCAGGGAUUCUAGCAUGAUGUUACCGAUUUGUGCUCAAGAACUACUUCUUGUUGAGUUAUGCUUAGAUACCAAAAGAAUAUGGUGAUUUGAGUCUGGAUUUCUGAACAGUUUACUAGUGGCAUUCGGAUUGCGUUGUGGAGAAGAAGUUUUAAUUCAGUUACAUAUCAAGUGUAGAAUCAUUUUGAUUGCAAUUUUUUUUUUAAUUAUCAAGUAUUUAUAUCAAAAUAUAUUUGUAACUCUUGUAAGAGUAAGAUGGGAAGUUAACACACUGAAUGCCCUUAAGGAAGUAAUAUACUCCCUCCGUCCC